rnacentral:rRNA from 1 species
AUUGAACGCUAGCGGGAUGCUUUACACAUGCAAGUCGAACGAGUGGCGGACGGGUGAGUAAUAUAUCGGAACGUGCCCAGUAGAGGGGGAUAACUACUCGAAAGAGUGGCUAAUACCGCAUACUAUUUGAGCGGCCGAUAUCGGAUUAGCUAUUUGGGGGGGUAAAGGCUCACCAAGGCAACGAGCCGUAGCUGGUUUGAGAGGACGACCAUCCACACUUGGACUGAGACACGGCCCAGACUCCUACGGGAUGCAGCAGGGGGGAAUUGUGGACAAUGGGGGAAACCCUGAUCCAGCCAUCCCGCGUGUAUGAGAAGGCCUUCGGGUUGUAAAGUACUUUUGGCAGAGAAGCGUUACCGACAGAAGAAGCACCGGCUAACUCCGUGCCAGCAGCCGCGGUAAUAC